GAUGAACGCUAGCGGCAAGCUUAAUACAUGCAAGUCGAGGGGCAGCAUGACUGUAGCAAUACAGUUGAUGGCGACCGGCAAACGGGUGCGGAACACGUACAGAACCUUCCUUCGAGCGGGGAACAGCCCAGAGAAAUUUGGAUUAAUACCCCAUAGUAUAUUGGAGUGGCAUCACUUUGAUAUUAAAGAUUUAUCACUUGAAGAUGGCUGUGCGGCUGAUUAGAUAGUUGGUGAGGUAACGGCUCACCAAGUCUGCGAUCAGUAACUGGUGUGAGAGCACGACCAGUCACACGGGCACUGAGACACGGGCCCGACUCCUACGGGAGGCAGCAGUAAGGAAGAUUGGUCAAUGGACGAAAGUCUGAACCAGCUAUGCCGCGUGGAGGAUGAAGGCCCUCUGGGUUGUAAACUUCUUUUAUAUGGGACGAAAAAGGGCCUUUCUAGGCCAACUGACGGUACCAUGUGAAUAAGCACCGGCUAACUCCGUGCCAGCCGCCGCAGUAAUAC
rnacentral:rRNA from 1 species